GACGAACCGUGCAAACGUUGUUCGGAAUCACUGGGCUUAAAGGGCGCGUAGGCGGCUUGCCAAGUCAGGGGUGAAAUCUUUCGGCUCAACCGGAAAAGUGCCUUUGAUACUGGCGAGCUUGAGGGAGGUAGGGGCAUGUGGAACUUCCGGUGGAGCGGUGAAAUGCGCUGAUAUCGGAAGGAACGCCGGUGGCGAAAGCGACGUGCUGGACCUCUUCUGACGCUGAGGCGCGAAAGCUAGGGGAG
rnacentral:rRNA from 1 species